AAUCCCUGAGCUUAACUUAGGAAUUGCAUUCGAUACUGGGAAGCUAGAGUAUGGGAGAGGAUGGUAGAAUUCCAGGUGUAGCGGUGAAAUGCGUAGAGAUCUGGAGGAAUACCGAUGGCGAAGGCAGCCAUCUGGCCUAAUACUGACGCUGAGGUACGAAAGCAUGGGGAGCAAACAGGAUUAGAUACCCUGGUAGUCCAUGCCGUAAACGAUGUCUACUAGCCGUUGGGGCCUUUGAGGCUUUAGUGGCGCAGCUAACGCGAUAAGUAGACCGCCUGGGGAGUACGGUCGCAAGACUAAAACUCAAAUGAAUUGACGGGGGCCCGCACAAGCGGUGGAGCAUGUGGUUUAAUUCGAUGCAACGCGAAGAACCUUACCUGGUCUUGACAUAGUAAGAACUUUCCAGAGAUGGAUUGGUGCCUUCGGGAACUUACAUACAGGUGCUGCAUGGCUGUCGUCAGCUCGUGUUGUGAGAUGUUGGGUUAAGUCCCGCAACGAGCGCAACCCUUUUCCUUAUUUGCCAGCGGGUUAAGCCGGGAACUUUAAGGAUACUGCCAGUGACAAACUGGAGGAAGGCGGGGACGACGUCAAGUCAUCAUGGCCCUUACGACCAGGGCUACACACGUGCUACAAUGGUCGGUACAAAGGGUUGCUACCUAGCGAUAGGAUGCUAAUCUCAAAAAGCCG
rnacentral:rRNA from 1 species